rnacentral:rRNA from 1 species
CAGUAGCCGCGGGAAUACGAAGGGUGCAAGCGUUAAUCGGAAUUACUGGGCGUAAAGCGCGCGUAGGUGGUUCAUUAAGUUGGAUGUGAAAGCCCUGGGCUCAACCUGGGAACUGCAUCCAAAACUGGUGAGCUAGAGUACGGUAGAGGGUAGUGGAAUUUCCUGUAUAGCGGUGAAAUGCGUAGAUAUAGGAAGGAACACCAGUGGCGAAGGCGACUACCUGGACUGAUACUGACACUGAGGUGCGAAAGCGUGGGGAGCAAACAGGAUUAGAUACCCCCGUAGUCCCUGUCUCUUAUAC